GCCAGACUCCUACGGGAGGCAGCAGUGGGGGAUAUUGGACAAUGGGGGGAACCCUGAUCCAGCGAUGCCGCGUGAGGGAAGAAGGUUUUCGGAUUGUAAACCUCUGUGGACAGGGACGAUAAUGACGGUACCUGUCAAGAAAGCCACGGCUAACUACGUGCCAGCAGCCGCGGUAAUACGUAGGGGGCAAGCGUUAUCCGGAUUUACUGGGUGUAAAGGGAGCGUAGACGGCAGCACAAGUCUGGAGUGAAAUGCCGGGGCUUAACCCCGGAACUGCUUUGGAAACUGUGCAGCUAGAGUGCAGGAGAGGUAAGUGGAAUUCCUAGUGUAGCGGUGAAAUGCGUAGAUAUUAGGAGGAACACCAGUGGCGAAGGCGGCUUACUGGACUGUAACUGACGUUGAGGCUCGAAAGCGUGGGGAGCAAACAGGAUUAGAUACCCCAGUAC
rnacentral:rRNA from 1 species